UACGAAGGGGGCUAGCGUUGCUCGGAAUCACUGGGCGUAAAGCGCACGUAGGCGGCUUUCUAAGUCAGGGGGUGAAAUCCUGGAGCUCAACUCCAGAACUGCCUUUGAUACUGGGGAGCUCGAGUCCGGAAGAGGUGAGUGGAACUCCGAGUGUAGAGGUGAAAUUUCGUAGAUAUUCGGAAGAACACCAGUGGCGAAGGCGGCUCACUGGUCCGGUACUGACGCUGAGGUGCGAAAGCGUGGGGAG
rnacentral:rRNA from 1 species